rnacentral:lncRNA from 1 species
CCCCAAGACCACAUAGUGGCAAGAGUCAUGCCACUAAUAUUCUCCAAACGAAGCUUUCACAUAAUAGUAGACCUAAUACCAAACUAAACAGCUCAAUGCAAUUUGCAAAAGAGAAAAAAAUAAUUCAUACAGGCCCUCACAUAAAAGCAUAUAAGUAACAAAUAAAAUAGCCUAAGUCUCAUUCAAUUAAACCUAAUCAACAGGAUUCAUUCACCCAAUUAUACAAAGA